GAUGAACGAUGGCGGCGUGCCUAAUACAUGCAAGUCGAGCGAACAGACGAGGAGCUUGCUCCUCUGACGUUAGCGGCGGACGGGUGAGUAACACGUGGAUAACCUACCUAUAAGACUGGGAUAACUUCGGGAAACCGGAGCUGAUACCGGAUAAUAUAUUGAACCGCAUGGUUCAAUAGUGAAAGACGGUUUUGCUGUCACUUAUAGAUGGAUCCGCGCCGCAUUAGCUAGUUGGUAAGGUAACGGCUUACCAAGGCAACGAUGCGUAGCCGACCUGAGAGGGUGAUCGGCCACACUGGAACUGAGACACGGUCCAGACUCCUACGGGAGGCAGCAGUAGGGAAUCUUCCGCAAUGGGCGAAAGCUUGACGGAGCAACGCCGCGUGAGUGAUGAAGGUCUUCGGAUCGUAAAACUCUGUUAUUAGGGAAGAACAAAUGUGUAAGUAACUAUGCACGUCUUGACGGUACCUAAUCAGAAAGCCACGGCUAACUACGUG
rnacentral:rRNA from 1 species